rnacentral:misc_RNA from 1 species
GGACCGAGCAAGCAACUAGCUCCGAAAAAUUUUAAUUCGAAAACCUAAAAACACAAAUGUUAUAAAAAAAGAUUGAAAUACGAAAAGAAACUGCCUCGAACCAUGGAGUAUAAUAGCCUGUUGCGGUCGAACUUUACGCGGAAUGAGUAUCGGAGAUAUAUAUCCUUUGAGCGCCAGUCUCUGGCAUCACAAUAUGAGCCGGGAGGCUACUCCAACCUGCAGACCCAGACACCAUCGAAUCGCAACUCCGCCAGCAUGACCCAGCGGGAUGGCAUCAUCAAGUUCGAGAACGAGCGAAUCAAGACGCUCCAGGAGGAGCGUCUUCACAUUCAGAAGAAGACAUUUACAAAAUGGAUGAAUUCGUUUCUGAUCAAGGCCAAAAUGGAGGUCGAAGACCUAUUCACAGACCUGGCCGAUGGCAUCAAGCUGCUGAAGCUGCUGGAGAUCAUAUCGUCGGAGAAACUGGGCAAGCCGAACAGCGGACGCAUGCGCGUCCAUAAAAUCGAAAAUGUCAACAAGAGUCUGGCAUUCUUGCACACCAAGGUACGCUUGGAGUCCAUUGGUGCUGAGGACAUUGUAGAUGGCAACCCCCGACUUAUAUUGGGUCUCAUUUGGACCAUCAUUCUGCGAUUUCAGAUCCAGGAAAUUGAAAUCGAUGUGGAUGAGGAGAACGAAUCCAGUGAAAAACGUUCCGCCAAAGAUGCGCUGCUGUUGUGGUGCCAGCGGAAAACGCACGGCUAUCCGGGUGUCAACAUUACGGACUUUACCAACUCAUGGCGCUCGGGCUUGGGCUUCAAUGCCCUGAUCCACUCCCAUCGGCCGGAUCUGUUCGAGUACAGCACCAUUGUCAAUUCAAAGAAUUCGAACUUGGACAACCUGAACCAUGCCUUCGAUACGGCCGCCAAUGAAUUGGGCAUACCAAGUCUGCUCGAUGCGGAGGACGUUGACUCGGCCCGCCCCGACGAGAAGUCGAUCUUGACCUAUGUGGCCUCCUACUACCACACCUUUGCUCGCAUGAAGAACGAGCAGAAGAGCGGCAAGCGCAUUGCGAAUAUUGUGGGCCAGCUGAUGGACGCCGAUCGCAAGAAGAUGCAGUACGAGCGCCUGACCACAAACCUGCUGAGCUGGAUCCGCCAGAAGACGCUCGAGCUGGAGCAGCGCAAUCUGCCCAACUCGCUGGAGGGCAUCCAACGGGAACUGCUCGCCUUCAAGGAGUAUCGCACCAUUGAGAAGCCACCCAAGUAUAAGGAGCGCAGUGAGAUCGAGGCUCUGUACUUCACCGUCAAUACUCUGCUGAAGGCUCUGAACCAGCCGCCAUACAACCCGCAGGAUGGCCAGCUCGUCAACGACAUAGAGAAGGCCUGGCAGAUCCUGGAGUACGCCGAACACCACCGCGAGGUGGCCCUGCGCGAGGAGCUGCUGCGCCAGGAGAAGCUGGAGCAGCUGAACUACAAGUUCGAGAAGAAGUCAGUGCUGCGCGAGGGCUAUCUCAAGGAGAUGAUCCAGGUCCUGUCCGAUCCGCGCUACCUGCGCCAGGUGGAUGCCACUCUGAAGAAGCACGAGGCCAUCUCGGCCGAUAUCCUAGCGCGAGUGGAGCGUUUCAACGACCUGACCGCCAUGGCCGAGGAGCUGGACCGGGAGAACUAUCACGGCAAGGAGCGAGUGCGUCGUCGCGAGCAGGAGGUGAUGGCCAAGUGGCGGCAGCUGCUGGAGCUGUUGGAGAACCAACGCCUCAACCUCUCCCAGAUGAGCAACCUGAUGAACCUGCUGCGCGAGAUAGCCGGCACCACGGAGUCCGUGCGUGAGCUGCAGCAGCAGUUCGCCUCCGAGGACGUGGGCCCACAUCUGCUGGGUGUGGAGGAGCUGUUGCAGGCUCACUCCCUCCAGGAGCUGCAGGUUAACACAUACGGAGAAACCCUCAAGCGCUUCAACCGCCAGGCUCUGCCCUACAAGAACUCUGAGCACAAGGACGCCGCAUUGCUGGCCCAACGCCUCUCCGAACUGGAGGAGGCCUACUCGGAACUCUUGCGACGCUCGGCCGCCAGGAGGGCUCGUCUGGAGGAGGCGCGCAACUUCCACCACUUCAUGGAGGAUUACGACAACGAGGAGUCGUGGCUGGUGGACAAGCAGCGCAUCUGCAAGACCGGCAUCACGGCCAAAGAUCUGCGGGCAGUGCUGUCGCUGCAGCAGAAGCACAAGGCUCUCGAGGAUGAGAUCAAGUCGCGAAAGCCCAAGUCCGGCCAAAUGUCAGAGGCCGGUAAGCGGCUGAUUGGCGAGCAGCACCCGCGUUCCUCGGAGAUCCAGAGCAGGAUCGAUUCUCUGGCCGAGCACUGGCAGGCCCUGGAGGCUCUCGUGGAGGUCAGACGCCGGCAGCUGGAAGACGCUGCCGAAGCCUAUCAAUUCUACACGGACGCCAACGAGGCCGAGUCCUGGCUGAACGAGAAGAUGGCCCUGGUCAACUCCAAGGACUACGGCAGCGAUGAGCCCUCGGCACAGGCUCUCCUUCAGCGACAUCGCGAUCUGCAAGGUGAACUGAACGCCUACUCCGGAGACAUCCUGAAUCUGAACCAGCAGGCGGACAAGCUGAUCAAGGCGGGUAUUUGCACCCUGGAGCUGUCGGCCGCCGAGCCGGAACUGCCCGAGGUGGAGCAGGAGGAGUGGGUGAACGAGACCCGGCUGGUGCCCAAGGAGGUGUGGGAGGACGAGUGGGUGGAGAAGCUGGAGCACAAGAAGGUCACCGAAACGAAGCUCCUGCCCCACGUGCGCUCCCUCUUCCACUUCGAGGGCCAGGGCAUGAAGAUGGACAAGGGCGAGGUCAUGCUGCUCAAGUCCAAGACCAACGACGACUGGUGGUGCGUCCGCAAGGAGAACGGCCUGGAGGGCUUUGUUCCCGCCAACUAUGUGCGGGAGAUCGAGCCGCGUCCGGUGGCCUGCAUUGUGCCCAAGGCGGAGAAGGUCAAGUCCCUGCAAAAGGUGAAGAAGACCAUCCUGGUGCGCCAGGUGGUGCCAGUGAAGAGGAUCAAGCCAGUGAGCACUGCUCCCAAGCCGUUAGUGCAACGCCGCACCUCCAGCCAGAGCAUCAACGAAAACGCCGACAGCGUGGAGAAGCGCCAGCAGAGGAUCAAUGCCACCUACGACGAGCUGCAGGAGAUGGCCCAGAAGCGUCAUGCCCUGCUGGAGGACUCCAUCCACCUGUUUGGCUUCUACCGCGAGUGCGACGACUUCGAGAAGUGGAUGAAGGAGAAGGAGCGCAUGAUCAAGUCCGAUGACGGCGAGGGUGUGGACAACGCCAAGCGCAAGUUCGAGAAGUUCAUCACGGACCUCUCCGCCGCGUCCAAGCGUGUGGAGGAGAUCGACGGGGCCGUGGACACCUUCCGUCGGCAGGGACACUCCCAGCUGGACAAGAUCAUUGCCCGCCAGCGACAAAUCCAUCAGAUCUGGCAGCGCCUCAACAACGCCAAAGCCCAGCGAGAGAAGUCCCUGGAAGGAGCCUCCAGCGUGGAGCUCUUCAACCGCACCUGCGACGAGGCCAAGGUCUGGAUGAGCGAGAAAAUGCUUCAACUGGACACGGCGGUGAUCACCCCCGACCUGCGAACGGUGCAGGCCCUCCAGCGACGUCACCAGAACCUGGAGCGCGAACUGGCCCCCGUCGAGGACAAGGUGAAUAGGGUGACCUAUUUGGGAAAUUCCGUCAAGAAUGCCUAUCCGGCGGAGCGGGACAAUGUCAAUGGCCGGCAGAAGGAGGUCCAGGACAUGUGGCAGCAGGUGCAGCAGCGCGGCAACGAUCUCCGCAAUCGCAUCGAGAGCGAGGUGGGUCAGCAGAUCUUCAACAAUAGUGCCAAAACCCUGCUGGCCUGGAUCGACUCCGUCAAGGAUCAACUCAAUGCCGAUGAGUCGGCACGCGACGUGGAAACGGCCAACAAUCUCCUGAAGAAGCACAACGACCUGGGCGAUGACAUUCGGGCCCAUGACAACGAAUUCGUGGAGAUCAUCCAGCUGGGCAAGCAGCUCUCCGACGGCAAACCCCACAUGGCCGAAACAGUGGCGUUAAUCGAACGCCUCAAGGCAGAACAAGAUGCCAUCCACCGGGGCUGGGCCGAGAAGCAGAAGUGGCUGCUCCAGUGCGUUGGACUGCAGAUGUUCAACCGCGAGGCGGACAAGAUCGACGCCACCACCAAGAGCCACGAGGCCUUCCUGGAAUACAACAAUCUGGGCUCCUCUCUGGACGAAGUGGAGGCCAUUCUCAAGCGGCAUCUGGACUUUGAGAAGAGCCUGAUGGCUCAGGAUAAGAUCCUCAAGGGAUUCUCGGACAAUGCGGACAAGCUGAUUGCCAACGAUCACUAUGAUUCCAAGUACAUCGGUGAUCGUCGCAACCAAGUGCUGGGCAAGCGCAAGGCUGUCCGAGAUCGCGCCUUUGAGCGUAAACGUCUUCUUCAAGCUUCCAAGGACUUCCAGAAGUUCGCCGCCGAGGCAGAUGACCUUAAGGUCUGGCUGCAAGACAAGACCAGGAUUGCCGGGGAUGAGAACUACCGCGACUUGAGCAACCUGCCCCGCAAGCUGCAGAAGCACCAGGCCUUCGAGCGCGAACUCCGCGCCAACGAGGGUCAACUGAGGAAUGUCACCAAGGACGGAGAGGCUCUGGUCCAGGCCGGUAAUCGUGUGCCCGAAGUGGAAGCCCGAGUGUCCGACCUAAACAAGCGCUGGAAGGAGUUGCUCACCCUGUCGGAGGACAAGGGCCGCAAGCUGGAGCAGGCCUCUUCGCAGCGGGAGCACAAUCGCGCCCUGGAGGACGCCAAGAAGAAGGUGGAUGAGCUGGACUCGGCACUCCGAAGCGGCGAUGUGGGCAACGACCUGCGCAGCUGCAAGGAUCUGAUCAACAAGCAACAGAUUCUCGAGUCCGAGAUCACCAUUUGGGACCAGAAGGUCGCGGAACUGGUGUCCACUGGCGAUGAUAUGGCCCACGAGGGGCACUUCAAUGCCCAGAACAUUGAGGCCGGCACCAAGGAGCUUCAGCAGCGUUUCAAGGAUCUGAGGGAUCCCACCCAGCGUCGCCGGGCCAAGCUGGAGGAGAGUCUGAACUAUCACAAGUUUGUCUUCGAACUAGAUGCGGAAUUCCAGUGGAUCAACGACCAUCUGCCGGCUGCCAAGUCGAACGAGCUCGGCCAUAAUCUGCACCAGGCGCAGUCCCUGCACAAAAAGCACAAGAAGCUGGAGGCCGAGAUCAAGGGACACCAGCCGAUGAUCAGCAAGGCCCUCCAAGCGGGUCAGACUCUGAUCGGCCAGCAGCAUCCGGAAAAGGAACGAGUGCAGGAGCUGUGCCAGCAGCUGGAACAGGCCUGGCACGACCUGGAGGGCCACUGUGCGGAGCGAUCGCGCAAGCUGGACAUGUCACUGAAGGCCCAGCAGUAUCUGUUCGAUGCCGGUGAGAUCGAGUCCUGGCUGGGUGAGCGCAACAACGCCUUGCGGUCCACGGAAUACGGCCGGGAUCGCGACUCGGCGGCCAAGCUGCUCACCAAGCACAAGACCAUCGAACUGGAGUUGGACACCUACUCGGGCAUCGUCACCGAAAUGGGACACAGCUGUGCCUCCAUGGUAGCGGCCGGACAUCCGGACAGCAAGGUCCUGGCUGCCAAGCAGCAGUUGAUCGAGAAGAUGCUGAAGUCCCUGCACAAGCUCGCCUCCCAGCGCCAGGUGCGUCUGAUGGAGAGCCUGUACAAGCACGAAUACUUCCUGGAAUCCGACGAGGUGGAGCAAUGGAUACGCGAGCAGGAGCAGGCAGCCUCUUCGGAGGACUAUGGCCAGGACUUUGAGCAUCUGCAGCUGCUGCAGAACAAGUUUGACGAUCUGAAGCACCGCGUGGAGGUGGGAGCCGAUCGGGUGGACCAGUGCGAGUUGCUGGCCAAGAAGCUGAUUGAUUCCGAGAGUCCCUACGCGAACGAGGUGGAAAAGCGACAGGAGCAACUGAGAACAUCCUGGGAGAACCUGCUCCAGCUGCUUAACCAGCGCGAGCAGAAGCUCCAUGCUGCCGGCGAAAUUCAUCGUUUCCAUCGCGAUGUGGCCGAGGCACUCUUCCGCAUCCAGGACAAGGACGCCGCGUUGUCCAACGAACUGGGCAGGGAUCUCAACUCUGCCUUGGCCCUGCUGCGCAAGCACGAGGGUUUCGAAAACGAUUUGGUCGCCCUGGAGGCGCAACUCCAGGUACUCGUCGAGGACUCAGUGCGCCUGCAAGCCAAGUAUCCUUCCAAUGCCGCGGCCAUUGCCCAGCAACAGGACAAGGUGGUGGCUGCCUGGAACGAUCUGAAGGAGCGUUCCACCGCUCGAGGAGAUCGCCUGGCCGCCAGCUCUGACCUGCAAACCUUCCUCACGGAUGUCAGAGACAUCGUUUCCUGGUCCUCGAACCUGCGCGCCGCCCUUCAAGCGGAAGAACAUGUCAGCGAUGCCAUCGGAGCCACUGCCCUGAAGAUCCAACACGAUGCCAUCUACGGGGAGAUCGAGGCCAGGGAGGAUAAGUUCCGAUACCUGAACGAGCUGAGCGACUCCAUGGUCCAGACUGGCCACUACGCUGCCGCGGAUGUGGAAGAGAAGUGCGCCGCCAUGCUGGAUGAGCGCCAGAAGUUGCACGCCGCCUGGAACAAGAAGAAGAUUAUGCUGGAGCAGAAGAUCGAUCUGUUCUGCUUCCUGCGCGACGCCAAGCAGAUUGACAAUCUGUCCAGCUCCCAGCAGGCGGCUCUGAGCAGCUCCGAUUUCGGCCAGACUGUGGAGGAUGUGCAGAACAAGAUCCGAAAGCACGACGAGUUCGAGCGGCUCAUUCAGACGCAGGAGGAGAAGGUGGCCCUGCUCCAGGAGCACGGCCGCAAGCUGAUCGAGCAGCGUCACUAUGACAGCGCCAACAUCCAGACCAUUCUCCAGGGAGUCCUCGCCCGUCGCCAGAAGGUCAAGGACUUGUGCGCCGUACGUCGCUACAAGCUGGAGGAUGCCCUGCUGUACGCCAAGUUUGUGAGGGACUGCGCCGAGGCGGAGUCCUGGAUCAAUGAGAAGCAGAAGAAACUGGAGGCAGAUGCUGCCAGCUAUGCCGAGGUGGCCAAUUUGGACGAAAAGAUUAAGAAGCUGCAGAAGCACCAGGCCUUCCAGGCCGAGGUGGCCGCCAACCAGGGCAGGAUCCAAGAGAUUCAGGACACGGGAGUGAUUCUCCUCAGCAAACAGCACGAAUCGUCGCCGGAAAUCAAACAAGCCAUCGAAAGAGUGCUCCAAGCCUGGCAGGGAUUGCUGGCGGAGCUGGAGCAGCGAGGCAGGGGACUGGAGGAGGCCCAGGACAUUCUGGAGUUCAACAGCCAGCUGGACAAGAUCGAGGCCUGGAUCCGCGACAAGGAGAUGAUGGUGCAGGCCAGCGAUACCGGACGCGAUCUGGAGCACUGCAAUGCCCUGAUGAGGAAACUGGACGACGUGGACUCCGAUAUGCGAGUGGACGACCAGAGGGUGAAGCACAUCAACCAGCUGGCCGACAAGCUGAUCAACCAAGCCCAGCUGCCGGCAGACACUCAGAGCGUGGACACCAGGAGGCAGGACUUCAACCACAACUGGCGACAGCUCCAGGGCGCCCUCAACGCCUACCGUGCCCUGCUGGGCGGUGCCAACGAGAUCCAUGUUUUCAAUCGCGAUGUGGACGACACUGCCGAGCGGAUAGCCGAGAAGGCCCUGGCCAUGAGCUCUACGGAUACGGGCAGAGAUCUGGCCGCUGUCGAGUCCCUGAUCCGCCGGGAGGAAGCCCUGGAACGGGACAUGUCGGCGGUGAAGCAGAAGAUCGACCAGCACGAAACCGCUGCGGAUUUCCUGAUCAAGAAGUACCCCGAACGAGGUGCCCAACACAUUGAACGGAAGCUGGAGGAGCUGCACAAGUCCUGGGGCAAUCUGCAGGCCUUGUCCAUCAAGCGGCAGAGUCUGCUGAACGAAGCCUAUCUGGGCCACAAGUUCGUGUCGGAUGUCAAGGAGCUGGAGCUCUGGGUCAACGACAUGGUCAAGAAAAUGAACAACGCCCAGGCCCCGUCGACGAUCAACGACUGCGAGACGCAGCUGGAGCUGCACCAGGAGCGCAAAGUGGAGAUCGAGGGCAGGGAGGAGGCCUUCGCCGGCCUUCAGAAGCAGGGUGACCUUCUGUCCAAGCAGCAGAAGCAGCCGGAGAAUGUCCGCCGCUACCUGAUCGUCCUGGAAGAUCUGCAUAAGACCCUGAACGAAGCCUGGAGCGAGCGGGCCAGGGAUCUGACCGAGGCCCACCAGCUGCAGCUGUUCAAGGCCCAAGUGGAGCAGGUCGAGAUUUGGCUGGCCAACAAGGAGGCCUUCCUGAACAACGACGAUCUGGGUGACUCCUACACGGCGCUCUUCCGAUCUGGCGAGGCAACCUGCUGGCAAGGUACCUGCUGGCAGGAUCGAUACCACGAGGAAGUUCAUCGAAAUGGAGUCGCACAACAACAAUGGAAAUGGCAGCAGUAGCAGCAACAGCAGUCCCAAGAGGAGCACCGUCAAUUACUCCAGCAGUGGUGCGAGCAGCAAUGGCAAUGGUUGGGGCACCAGCCGCUUCGAGAGCAAUCGACCCGUCUCCCUGCAGCCAGACUCCAUCAGCUUCUCGCGGGUAUCCGCGGAGAGCUCC